AUUGAACGCUGGCGGCAGGCCUAACACAUGCAAGUCGAGCGGAUGAAGGGAGCUUGCUCCUGGAUUCAGCGGCGGACGGGUGAGUAAUGCCUAGGAAUCUGCCUGGUAGUGGGGGAUAACGUCCGGAAAACGGGCGCUAAUACCGCAUACGUCCUGAGGGAGAAAGUGGGGGAUCUUCGGACCUCACGCUAUCAGAUGAGCCUAGGUCGGAUUAGCUAGUUGGUGGGGUAAAGGCCUACCAAGGCGACGAUCCGUAACUGGUCUGAGAGGAUGAUCAGUCACACUGGAACUGAGACACGGUCCAGACUCCUACGGGAGGCAGCAGUGGGGAAUAUUGGACAAUGGGCGAAAGCCUGAUCCAGCCAUGCCGCGUGUGUGAAGAAGGUCUUCGGAUUGUAAAGCACUUUAAGUUGGGAGGAAGGGCAGUAAGUUAAUACCUUGCUGUUUUGACGUUACCAACAGAAUAAGCACCGGCUAACUUCGUG
rnacentral:rRNA from 1 species